rnacentral:lncRNA from 1 species
CUUUGAGAACAAAAAGUAGGAUGAAUUUCUUGCUUCCUUCCGUUUCAGCGUCAUCCGAUCUUGUUCAGCAAUUUGAAAACUGAAGGAAUUGAUCGGGUCAAGGGAAUUUAUCCGCUCCCUAGCCUCCAAUCGAUUUCCUACCUUCGUCGUAAUCUUUCCCACGCUAAGCAUACUACUCCCGGGCAAGGUCAUAAGAACCUUUGUGAAUCCAUCCCACGAAAAAUCUGCCUCUAUGAUCCACACCAAACACACGAGUUGAAUGUUCUCCUUUAUUUAUUUAAUCAUGCCGCAUAUCCUUAUAAGCUCAGCUUGGCCCCGGUCCCCCUUUCCAAGGCUCUCCCGUUUAAUUAGUGCCGCUACCUCCUCGGAGCGAUCAUCUCUCGUC